UCCCCCCUGGUGUAAGGGCAACACACCGGUCUUUGGAACCGGGGAUGGAGGUUCGAAUCCUCCGGGGGGAA
rnacentral:tRNA from 1 species